rnacentral:rRNA from 1 species
AUGCAAGUCGGACGGAACUUUUCGCUGUAGCAAUACAGUGGAAAGUUCAGUGGCGAACGGGUGCGUAACACGUGGGCAAUCUGCCUUAAAGUGUGGGAUAGCUCGGCGAAAGCCGAAUUAAUACCGCAUGUGGCUACUGGAGACAUCUUCGGGACGCUAAAGGUGGCGCAAGCUACCGCUUUUUGAGGAGCCCGCGGCCUAUCAGCUUGUUGGUGAGGUAAUGGCUCACCAAGGCAUUGACGGGUAGCUGGUCUGAGAGGACGACCAGCCACACUGGGACUGAGACACGGCCCAGACACCUACGGGUGGCAGCAGUCGAGAAUUUUUGACAAUGGGGGAAACCCUGAUCGAGCGACGCCGCGUGGAGGAUGAAGGUCUUCGGGUUGUAAACUCCUGUCAUUUGGGAACAAGGCGCGGCUAUUAACUGUAGUCGCGUUGAUAGUACCAGAAGAGGAAGAGACGGCUAACUCUGUGCCAGCAGCCGCGGUAAUACAGAGGUCUCAAGCGUUGUUCGGAUUCAUUGGGCGUAAAGGGUGUGUAGGUGGCGCGCUAAGUCGGGUGUGAAAUUUCGGAGCUUAACUCCGAAACUGCAUUCGAUACUGGCGUGCUUGAGGACUGGAGAGGAGACUGGAAUUUACGGUGUAGCAGUGA